UAAUACUGAGGGUGCAAGCGUUAAUCGGAAUUACUGGGCGUAAAGCGCGCGUAGGCGGUCUGGUCAGUCAGAUGUGAAAGCCCCGGGCUUAACCUGGGAACUGCGUUUGAAACUGCCAGACUAGAGUGUGGUAGAGGGAAGUGGAAUUCCGUGUGGAGCGGUGAAAUGCGUAGAGAUGCGGAGGAACACCAGUGGCGAAGGCGACUUCCUGGACCAACACUGACGCUCAGGUGCGAAAGCGUGGGGAGCAAACAGGAUUAGAUACCCUGGUAGUCCACGCCGUAAACGAUGUCUACUAGCCGUUGGGGAGCUUGUCUCCAUAGUGGCGCAGCUAACGCGAUGAGUAGACCGCCUGGGGAGUACGGUCGCAAGACUA
rnacentral:rRNA from 1 species